AGGGAAUCUUCCACAAUGGACGAAAGUCUGAUGGAGCAACGCCGCGUGAGUGAUGAAGGGUUUCGGCUCGUAAAACUCUGUUGUUGGAGAAGAACAGGUGUGAGAGUAACUGUUCACAUCUUGACGGUAUCCAACCAGAAAGCCACGGCUAACUACGUGCCAGCAGCCGCGGUAAUACGUAGGUGGCAAGCGUUGUCCGGAUUUAUUGGGCGUAAAGCGAGCGCAGGCGGUUUCUUAGGUCUGAUGUGAAAGCCUUCGGCUUAACCGGAGAAGUGCAUCGGAAACCAGGAGACUUGAGUGCAGAAGAGGACAGUGGAACUCCAUGUGUAGCGGUGAAAUGCGUAGAUAUAUGGAAGAACACCAGUGGCGAAGGCGGCUGUCUGGUCUGUAACUGACGCUGAGGCUCGAAAGCAUGGGUAGCGAACAGGAUUAGAUACCCUGGUAGUCCAUGCCGUAAACGAUGAGUGCUAAGUGUUGGAGGGUUUUCCGCCCUUCAGUGCU
rnacentral:rRNA from 1 species